UCGCGGCCUAUCAGCUUGUUGGCGGGGUAAUGGCCCACCAAGGCAACGACGGGUAGCUGGUCUGAGAGGAUGGUCAGCCACACUGGGACUGAGACACGGCCCAGACUCCUACGGGAGGCAGCAGUGGGGAAUCUUGCGCAAUGGGCGAAAGCCUGACGCAGCAACGCCGCGUGCGGGAUGAAGGCCUUCGGGUUGUAAACCGCUUUUACCAGGAACGAAAAUGACGGUACCUGGAGAAUAAGGUGCGGCCAACUACGUGCCAGCAGCCGCGGUGACACGUAGGCACCAAGCGUUGUCCGGAUUUAUUGGGCGUAAAGAGCUCGUAGGCGGUUCAGUAAGUCGGGUGUGAAAACUCCGGGCUUAACCCAGAGACGCCACUCGAUACUACUGUGACUAGAGUUCGGUAGGGGAGCAGGGAAUUCCUGGUGUAGCGGUGAAAUGCGCAGAUAUCAGGAGGAACACCGAUGGCGAAGGCACUGCUCUGGGCCGAAACUGACGCUGAGGAGCGAAAGCGUGGGUAGCAAACAGGAUUAGAUACCCUGGUAGUCCACGCCGUAAACGGUGGGCACUAGGUGUGGGUUCCAACCAACGGAAUCCGCGCCGUCGCUAACGCAUUUAGUGCCCCGCCUGGGGAGUACGG
rnacentral:rRNA from 1 species